rnacentral:rRNA from 1 species
UACGAAGGGGGCUAGCGUUGUUCGGAAUUACUGGGCGUAAAGCGCACGUAGGCGGAUUUGUUAGUCAGGGGUGAAAUCCCGGGGCUCAACCUCGGAACUGCCUUUGAUACUGCGGGUCUUGAGUCCGAUAGAGGUGAGUGGAAUUCCUAGUGUAGAGGUGAAAUUCGUAGAUAUUAGGAAGAACACCGGUGGCGAAGGCGGCCCACUGGAUCGGUACUGACGCUGAGGUGCGAAAGCGUGGGGAGCAAACAGG